AAUCCAUAGGUUAAUGAGGCGAACCGGGGGAACUGAAACAUCUAAGUACCCCGAGGAAAAGAAAUCAACCGAGAUUCCCCCAGUAGCGGCGAGCGAACGGGGAGGAGCCCAGAGCCUGAAUCAGCAUGUGUGUUAGUGGAAGCGUCUGGAAAGGCGCGCGAUACAGGGUGACAGCCCCGUACACAAAAGCGCAUGUGCUGUGAGCUCGAUGAGUAGGGCGGGACACGUGGUAUCCUGUCUGAAUAUGGGGGGACCAUCCUCCAAGGCUAAAUACUCCUGACUGACCGAUAGUGAACCAGUACCGUGAGGGAAAGGCGAAAAGAACCCCGGCGAGGGGAGUGAAAAAGAACCUGAAACCGUGUACGUACAAGCAGUGGGAGCACAGGUUUACCUGUGUGACUGCGUACCUUU
rnacentral:rRNA from 1 species